rnacentral:lncRNA from 1 species
GGCUCAGGGUCAGCUCAUUUGAAAAGCGGCUGCCUUUUCUUCUUUUCUCUUCUCUUCUCUUUUUUUUUCUCUCUCUCUUUCAUUCACAUUAUAGCUUGAGUCAGAACUUCAUUCCUUUUUAAGGCUGAAGGACCACAUUUUGCUUGUUUGUUCAUGUGAUCGAUGAUGAUGGACACUUAGGUUGUUUCCACUUUUUAGCUAUCGUAAACACUGUUGCUAAUGGAAUAUGGGUGUACAAAUAUUUCUUCAAGAUCUUGCUUUCAAUUCUUUUGGGUAUAUACCCAGAAGUGGAACUGCUGCAUCAUAUGGUAAUUUCUGUGUUUAAUUUGUUGAAGAACUGCCAUACUGUUUUCCAGGUUGGCUGUUCCAUUUUUAAAUUUUAUUUAUUUAUUUAUUGUUUAUUUGUUUAUUUUUUUGAGACGGAGUUUUGCUCUUGUUGUCCAGGCUGGAGUGCAGUGGCGUGAUCUUGGCUUAUUGCAACCUCCGCCUCCCAGGUUCAAGCCAUUCUCCUGCCUCAGGUACCCAAGUAGCUGGGAUUACAGGUGUGCGCCACCAUGCCCAGCUAAUUUUUGUAUUCUAGUAGAGACAAGGUUUCACCAUGUUGGCCAGGCUGAUCUUGAACUCUUGACCUCAAGUGAUCCACCUGCCUCAGCCUCCCAAAGUGCUAGGAUUAUAGGCGUGAGCCUCCACGUCCGGCCUGGCUGUUCCAUUUUAUAUUCCAACAGUGCACAAGGGUUCCAAUUUCUCUACAUCAUCACCAACACUUAUUAUUAUUAUUAUUAUUUUGGAGAUGGAGUUUUGCUUUGUCACCCAGGCUGGAGUGCGGUGGCGCUAUCUCAGUUCACUGCAACCUCCGCCUCCCAGGUUCAAGCAAAUCUCCUGCCUCAGCCUCCCGAGUAGCUGGGACUACAGGUGAGUGCCACCACGCCCGGCUGAUUUUUUGUAUUUUUAGCAGAGGUGGGGUUUCACCUUGUUGGCCAGGCUGGUCUUGAACUCCUGACCUCAGGUGAUCUGCCCACCUUGGCCUCCCAAAGUGAUGGGAUUACAGGCAGGAGCCACCAAGCCUGGCCUGUUUUGUAGUUUUCAUUGUACAAGUUUUUCACUUUUUGGAUUAAUUCCUAAGGAUUUUCUUCUUUUUGAUAUUAUUGUAAAUGAAAUUGUUUUUAUAAUUUUUGUUUCAGAUCACUCACUGUCAGUGUAGAGAAAAGUAACUGAUUUUUGUGUGCUGACUUUGUAUCUUGCUACUUUGCUGCAUUCAUUUAUUAAUUCUAACAGUUUUUUCUUAGUUUGUGAAAUCUUUAGGGUUUCUACAUAUAAGAUCAUAUCAUUGGAGAGCAGAGAUUAUUUUACUUCUUCCUUUCCGUUUGGAUGCCUUUGAUUUCUUUUUCUUUUUUUUUUUGAGAUGGAGUCUCACUCUUUCGCCCAGGCUGGAGUGCAGUGGCUCGAUCUCGGCUCACUGCAAGCUCCACCUCCCGGGUUCACGCCAUUCUCCUGCCUCAGCCUCUCGAGUAGCUGGGACUACAGGCACCCGCCACCGCGCCCAGCUAAUUUUUCUGUAUUUUUAGUAGAGACGGGGUUUCACCGUAUUAGCCAGGAUGGUCUCGAUCUCCUGACCUCGUGAUCCACCCGCGUCGGCCUCCCAAAGUGCUGGGAUUACAGGCGUGAGCCACUGCGCCUGGCCUGAUUUCUUUUUCAUUCCUAAUUGCUCUGGCUAGAACUACCAGUACUAUGUUGACUAGAAGUCAACAUAGGGUUUUUUUUUUUUUGAGACAGGGUCUCACUCUGUCACCCAGGCUGGAGUGCAGUGGUGCGAUCUCAGCUCACUGCAACCUCCACCUCCCGGGUUCAAGCGAUCCACCCAGCCUCCCAAGUAGCUGGGACAACAGGCACCUGCCGCCACGCUUGGUUAAUUUUUUUUUGUAGAGAUGAGGUUUCACCAUGUUGCCCAGGCUGGUCUUGAACUCUUGAGCUCAAGUGGUCCGCCCACCUUGGACUCCCAAAGUGCUGGGAUUACAGGCAUGUGCCACUGUGUCCAGCCUUGGGCAGCCAUUUUGGACCAUAAGAUGAAAACUGCCAGUUGUCUUCAACAAAAAGAGCGCAAGAUAGCAAAAGACUGGGUUCCUGACACCGUAAAGCAACUAUGCAGCUCUGGAUCACUUUCAUUCAGAUUAAUAUGAGAGAGGAAAACAAACUACUUUUUGACUAGGAGGCAGUUGUUAUUUGAACCUUUCUUACAGCAUGGAGCCUGUAUCCCACCAUUGUAGUUUGUCUAAUGAAUAAAUGGAUGAUUGAAUAACCAAAGAAGCAGUCAGAUCCAGGCCCCCAUACAGAUUCAUGCACAAAGACUCUGCCUUAGCCUAGGUGGGAGCAACGUCCAGGUGCAGUAGAAAUAUUCAUGGCUGGAGGCUAGUUCUUUCUGACACAGGGUCUCGCUCUGUUGCCCAGGCUGGAGUGCAGUGGUGUGAUCACGGCUCACUGCUGCCUUGACCUCUUGGGCUCCAGCAGUCCUCUCACCUCAGCCUCCUGAGUAGCUGGAACUACAGAUGUGUGCCACCACAGCUGGAGAUAUAUAUAUGUAUUUUUUAUAGAGACAUGGUCUCACUAUGUUGCCCAGGCUGAUCUCAAACUCCAGGAUUCAAGUGAUCUGCCCACCUUGGUCUCCAAAAGUGCUAGGACUGCAGGUGUGUACCACCGUGCCUGGCUGAUUUUUUUUCUGUAUUUUUUUUAACGACAAGGUCUCACUCUACCAGGCUGGUCUCGAACUCUUUGGCUCAAGUGAUUUGCCCACCUUGGCCUUCCAAAGUGCUGGGAUUACAGGUGUAAGCCACCGCGCCUGGCCCAGAGGAGCUAGUACUACUAGUUCUAAAUCUGGCCUUUCCACUAGCUAGCUGUGUGCCCCUGAGCCACCCAUGUGCCCUCUCUGGGUCUCACAUUUCUCAGUUGUAAACCCGGCUUAGCAAAUCUUUAAAUCUAUGCAAUUUAAAGUUAUUUUUGCUCUUUUGCAAUUGCAUUUCUAGGAAUCCAUUCCCAGGGAAAUUCUCACCACAUAGCACAUGAACACAGGUGCCAGGAUGCAGCUGCACCUUCCUUUGUGGAGCAAAAACUUGGAAAUAUCCUUAAAAGUGAUUAAGUAAAUCAGAGUAUGAACUGUGCUCUGGAGUGCAAGACCGCGGACUAUGGCUUUCUGGAUUCUCUGGUGACACCUGCUGGCACAAAGGGAUACUGCAGCCCAGCUUGGUUACGUAUUGGGAAUUUCUAGAAGAAGAGAGGUUCGGGGCAAUUGUGUGAGGGUGGUUUGGGAAGGCACAGAGCAGGGAGAGAUUUGGAAGGAAGGUCAAGGCAAGGAGGUGGCCUGGGUGUGGAGGUUGCAAGCAUAGACUUGGGUUCAAAUUCCAGCUUCACUAC